rnacentral:lncRNA from 1 species
UUACAACAUUUAAUCUUGUCGUUAUGACAAAUAAAUAGGAAAUGAUAAGUAUCGACGUCGAUACUGUCGAUACUAUCGACUUUUCCAAUCCCGCGUACUUGUUUACGCGAUAUCGCCGGCGCCAUGUUAUAACGGUGCCUCGGCCCGGAGAAGAGAUCAAACUGCAGCGCGGCGCGCACGUCGCUCGUGCACAGAUAUGGGCCGCGCCCUUGAAUCGUCAUGUGUGAAUUUCUAAUAGUUAUAUGAAACCAUAAAACACAUAGUUAAUUUAUAAAAGGUGCAUCUCGUUUGUUACGACACUUCAUUACAAAUCAAGUGCAUAUAUUCCCCCACUUUGGGGACUACUCGACGGGCUCACUACUAUCACGCCCGCAAACCUUCACCCUGCCUGGACGCCUCUGCCCACUCGCGUCGAACGCCGCGUCACACGCCACUACCGACGCCAGGACGCCAGGACAGUAACGCUCAGCUACGCUGCGAUCCAUUUGCCAUCACCACCGUAGGCCUACGACCCACGUCCCUAAAUAGUCCUAAUAAAUAGAUUUAACACUUUGUA